rnacentral:lncRNA from 1 species
GGCAAUGGGGCCAAUCUUCCUUAAGCUGCUCCUUAAAAGAAAAGGAAUCAUACUGCUAAGAAUUCAGACUUCAGCAGACAUGGGGAGCAUUGGGAGGAGCCCGAAUCACUGAUGGAAUUGAACAGUGCGUGGAGACGGUUCAGCAGGACAAGGUGCUCAAAAUUCAUCCCUGUGUGACCUCAAUCCCUGGCUCCACCUCUUCUGCCACAAACAUCAGCAUGGUGGUGUCUGCCAGCCCUUCAUCCAGUGUGAGAAGACAGAGAUGAACACUGGAGAAAUCAACAAGAAAUUGCGCCCCCAGCCGGCAGAGAACAAACAGCAGUUCAGAAACAUAAAGAGAAAUUUCUUGUAACUCAAGUGGCCUAAUUCCUGGCCAACCAGCAGAAGAAAUACCAGUAUGAAGAAUUCAAAGACCUCAUAAAAUCUAUGCUGAGGGAUGAGCUGCAAUUCAAGGACGAGAAGCUUGCAGAGCAGCUUGGGCAAGCUGAGGAGCUCAGGCAAUAUAAAGUCCUAGUUCACUCUCAGGCACGAGAGCUGGCCUGGUUAAGGAAGAGAUUACAGGAAGGGAGAGAUGCCUCCCGCUCAUUGAAUCAGCAUCUCCAGGCCCUCCUCACUCCGGAUGAGCCUGACAACUCCCAGGGGCAGGAUAUCUGAGAGCAGCUGGCUGAGGGCUGCAGGCUGACAGAGAACCUCAUCCACAAACUCAGCCCAGGUGGUCUUUGGAACAGGAGGCAGCAUCUCUCCAGUUUUAAAGGACAAGAAGGAGGCUGUGACAGGAGGGCGCUUGUUAGAGUGAAAAGAGCUCUGGACUAAGCAUGGAGGUUCCCAGGCUCUAUCUUCAGCAACGUCCUUCGUAACUGUCGAAAAUGAUGAAGAUGUGGAUGACGAUGUUUACGUUGAGGAGGCUGAGAAAGUGCGGGAAUCACGUGCCCCCAGGAGUAGCCAUGCGGUAGAAGAAUACCAAUCUCAGCUUUCUGCAGUGUGCUGGAUAUUCUGUUUGCUCCUCCAGCUCCACUUUUGGUGCUUCUCUGCCCAGCUCAGACUUCCAGUAGGGUGGACCAACAGGAGGCACUUGCAGG